rnacentral:rRNA from 1 species
AUUGAACGCUGGCGGCAGGCCUAACACAUGCAAGUCGAGCGGAUGAAGGGAGCUUGCUCCUGGAUUCAGCGGCGGACGGGUGUGUAAUGCCUAGGAAUCUGCCUGGUAGUGGGGGAUAACGUCCGGAAACGGGCGCUAAUACCGCAUACGUCCUGAGGGAGAAAGUGGGGGAUCUUCGGACCUCACGCUAUCAGAUGAGCCUAGGUCGGAUUAGCUAGUUGGUGGGGUAAAGGCCUACCAAGGCGACGAUCCGUAACUGGUCUGAGAGGAUGAUCAGUCACACUGGAACUGAGACACGGUCCAGACUCCUACGGGAGGCAGCAGUGGGGAAUAUUGGACGAUGGGCGAAAGCCUGAUCCAGCCAUGCCGCGUGUGUGAAGAAGGUCUUCGGAUUGUAAAGCACUUUAAGUUGGGAGGAAGGGCAGUAAGUUAAUACCUUGCUGUUUUGACGUUACCAACAGAAUAAGCACCGGCUAACUUCGUG